rnacentral:rRNA from 1 species
GACGGAGGAUGCAAGUGUUAUCAGGAAUCACUGGGCGUAAAGCGUCUGUAGGUAGUUAAAUAAGUCAACUGUUAAAUCUUGAGGAUUAACCUCAAAAUCGCAGUCGAAACUAUUAGACUAGAGUAUAGUAGGGGUAAAGGGAAUUUCCAGUGGAGCGGUGAAAUGCGUAGCGAUUGGAAAGAACACCGAUUGCGAGUGCACUUUACUGGGCUAUUACUAACACUCAGAGCCGAAGUCUAGGGUAGCAAAUGGG